rnacentral:lncRNA from 1 species
CAAUAAAGCAGUGCCCAACGGGUGUCACAGGGCCCCCGUGAUUUCUAGAAAGGGGAAGAAAGGAAAACACAAGAAAGGCAGAACAAUUGAGGCGAAUCCUGUUGCAACCUCGAUGAUAAACACAUGGAAAAAGCUGUUACUACUCUGCGGAUUGCUGGAAUUUGAGUAGACGUUAGAAAAAUAAACAAAGUGAUGACUCCGCACCAGUUCUGUAAAUGCACCGCUACACUCAAAAAAAAAAAAAAAACAAACAAAAAAAGGAUUUGUCGGAGAAGGGAGAAUCUGCUGAUUUAGGGACACUCGACCUGCAUAUUAUCAC